rnacentral:piRNA from 1 species
UGAGGAAACCAGUGGAUGGUAGGAUUGC